GUUCCCAAUGAUUUUUUUUUUACUAUGCUAAUGUUGAGAAUUGAUGAUUAAUAAGUUUAAUUUAUAAUGCUGAGGGAAUU
rfam:Medicago truncatula strain A17 chromosome 1, whole genome shotgun sequence.